GACAAAAAAAAAAAAAAAAAAAAAAAAGACAAUAAAGAGGAUGCUGUUCUCUCAUGGAAGUAUGGCACCAUAGAACCCAAAAAGAGAAGAAAUUUUCACCAGCUAAAUUUAUUAACUUACGACGCUAAAGCAGAUGGGAACUUUUUAUUCAGAUGGAGAAAAGAUCAGCCACAUAAAAACAGAUCAAUGUAAUAAAACAGAACAUCAUUAAAGGCUAAAACCGAAACCAUACUAAUUCUCUGACCAGACACAGCAGGAGGAAGAGGGACCAGCAGAGGAUGAGG